CCUACGGGCGGCAGCAGUGGGGAAUAUUGGGCAAUGGGCGCAAGCCUGACCCAGCAACGCCGCGUGCAGGAAGAAGGCUUUCGGGUUGUAAACUUCUUUUGACAGGGAAGAGCAGAAGACGGUACCUGUCGAAUAAGCCACGGCUAACUACGUGCCAGCAGCCGCGGUAAUACGUAGGUGGCAAGCGUUGUCCGGAUUUACUGGGUGUAAAGGGCGUGUAGCCGGGCUGACAAGUCAGAUGUGAAAUCCGGGGGCUCAACCCCCGAACUGCAUUUGAAACUGUUGGUCUUGAGUAUCGGAGAGGCAGGCGGAAGUCCUAGUGUAGCGGUGAAAUGCGUAGAUAUUAGGAGGAACACCAGUGGCGAAGGCGAUUAACUGGACCGUAACUGACGCUGAGGCACGAAAGUGUGGGUAGCAAACAGGAUUAGAUACCCCAGUAGUC
rnacentral:rRNA from 1 species